AUAUAGUACUCUUAAGAAGUUUACUUAAAGAUAGUUUGGACCAUAUAUAGUAGUAGCAGUACAUAAUAAUACUACCUAUUUGCUUUGUGAAUUAGAUGGUAUGAUGUUGAAGAUACAUAUGGCUAGAAAGCAAAUGAAGGCAUUCAAAAGAAGAGAUGGCAGAUUUAUUCCAAGUAACCUUUUAGAUUUCGAAGCAAUAGAUUUGGACCAAGUGGAAGAUGUAUAAAUAGAUAGAGAUGAUGAAGAGGACAAACAUGGUUAGAUUUGUACAUAUCGAAAGAUGUGUAAGUUUGGAAGGAGGGGGAGAGAGAAGAAGAGAGAGUA
rnacentral:lncRNA from 1 species